rnacentral:misc_RNA from 1 species
UCAACCAUCAAGCCCGGCUUGUUAUUGGGUCUUUUUUAUCGGUUAAACGAUAGGCCUGAAAGAUAAUGGCGGUGUCAAGAUGAGACCCCAGGUGCAGCGAGCUAUAAGCACACACUGAGGCGGUCGUCUUGGCCCGGUCUUAACUAUUUUAUUUUCUAA